rnacentral:rRNA from 1 species
UACGUAGGGGGCUAGCGUUGUCCGGAAUCAUUGGGCGUAAAGCGCGUGUAGGCGGUCCGGUAAGUUCGCUGUGAAAGUCGGGGGCUCAACCCUCGGAUGCCGGUGGAUACUGUCGGGCUUGAGUACGGAAGAGGCGAGUGGAAUUCCUGGUGUAGCGGUGAAAUGCGCAGAUAUCAGGAGGAACACCAAUGGCGAAGGCAGCUCGCUGGGACGGUACUGACGCUGAGGCGCGAAAGCGUGGGGAGCAAACAGG